rnacentral:rRNA from 1 species
UACAGAGGUCUCAAGCGUUGUUCGGAAUCACUGGGCGUAAAGCGCACGUAGGCGGAUGUGUCAGUCAGGGGUGAAAUCCCGGAGCUCAACUUCGGAACUGCCUCUGAUACAGCACGUCUUGAGUCCGGAAGAGGUGGGUGGAAUUCCUAGUGUAGAGGUGAAAUUCGUAGAUAUUAGGAAGAACACCGAUGGCGAAGGCGGCCCACUGGUCCGGUACUGACGCGAGGUGCGAAAGCGUGGGGAGCAAAACAGG